rnacentral:rRNA from 1 species
GGAUAAACGCUGGCGGCGCACAUAAGACAUGCAAGUCGAACGGGAACUUGUUGAAGUUAUCUGAUAUAAAGUUCUAGUGGCGGACUGGUGAGUAAUGUAUAAAGCAACCUGCCUAUAAGAGGGGGAAUAACAGUGAGAAAUCAUUGCUAAUACCGCAUAAGCUGUGAGAAUGGCAUCAUUCAAACAGAAAAGGAAGCAAUUCCGCUUAUAGAUGGGCUUAUAUCUGAUUAGCUAGUUGGUGAGGGUAACGGCCUACCAAGGCGAUGAUCAGUAGCCGGACUGAGAGGUUGAACGGCCACAUUGGGACUGAGAUACGGCCCAGACUCCUACGGGAGGCAGCAGUCGGGAAUAUUGCGCAAUGGAGGAAACUCUGACGCCAGUGACGCCGCGUGCAGGAAGAAGGUUUUAGGAUUGUAAACUGCUUUAGAUAGGGAAGAAACAAAUGACGGUACCUAUAGAAUAAGCUCCGGCUAACUACGUGCCAGCAGCUGC